AUGGCGAAGUCGCCUGCUCGAAAGUAAGUGCGCAGAAGAAAGUAACUUGUUGUAUUGAUUGAUUGUUGUGUUUACAGAUUUACAAAGGUAGCUAUUUAUAGCCCCGUACAAAUAAUCUUCUUAACCGACUAGGACUCUAUCUCUAAUUCAAACAGAAAACAAAUAUCUACAAGCACAAUCCGUGCUAAACUAAUUACCCCACGCUUCGUGGGCUGAACUCCACCUUAUCCCUCCAUCUUUCCAAGCCCAUACAGGCCCACCUUAGUCCACUUUCCUGAUCGGCC
rnacentral:lncRNA from 1 species